rnacentral:rRNA from 1 species
GACGAACGCUGGCGGCGUGCUUAACACAUGCAAGUCGAACGGAAAGGCCCUGCUUUUGUGGGGUGCUCGAAUGGCAAACGGGUGAGUAACACGUGAGUAACCUGCCCUUGACUUUGGGAUAACUUCAGGAAACUGGGGCUAAUAACGGAUAGGAGCUCCUGCUGCAUGGUGGGGGUUGGAAAGUUUCGGCGGUUGGGGAUGGACUCGCGGCUUAUCAGCUUGUUGGUGGGGUAGUGGCUUACCAAGGCUUUGACGGGUAGCCGGCCUGAGAGGGUGACCGGCCACAUUGGGACUGAGAUACGGCCCAGACUCCUACGGGAGGCAGCAGUGGGGAAUAUUGCACAAUGGGCGGAAGCCUGAUGCAGCAACGCCGCGUGCGGGAUGACGGCCUUCGGGUUGUAAACCUCUUUCGCCUGUGACGAAGCGUGAGUGACGGUAAUGGGUAAAGAAGCACCGGCUAACUACGUG